rnacentral:rRNA from 1 species
UGGGGAAUUUUGGACAAUGGGCGAAAGCCUGAUCCAGCAAUGCCGCGUGUGUGAAGAAGGCCUUCGGGUUGUAAAGCACUUUUGUCCGGAAAGAAAUCCUUGGCUCUAAUACAGUCGGGGGAUGACGGUACCGGAAGAAUAAGCACCGGCUAACUACGUGCCAGCAGCCGCGGUAAUACGUAGGGUGCAAGCGUUAAUCGGAAUUACUGGCGUAAAGCGUGCGCAGGCGGUUUGCUAAGACCGAUGUGAAAUCCCCGGGCUCAACCUGGGAACUGCAUUGGUGACUGGCAGGCUAGAGUAUGGCAGAGGGGGGUAGAAUUCCACGUGUAGCAGUGAAAUGCGUAGAGAUGUGGAGGAAUACCGAUGGCGAAGGCAGCCCCCUGGGCCAAUACUGACGCUCAUGCACGAAAGCGUGGGGAGCAAACAGGAUUAGAUACCCUGGUAGUCCACGCCCUAAAACGAUGUCAACUAGUUGUUGGGGAUUCAUUUCCUUAGUAACGUAGCUAACGCGUGAAGUUGACCACCUGGGGAGUACGGUCGCAAGAUUAAAACUCAAAUGAAUUGACGGGUCAUAGCUG